UAUUCCAAUCAGACCCACUUGAACUCAUGACAACUGAGACACAAACUGGGAUUAGAUACCCCACUAUGCUCAGUCGUAAACUUUAAAUUACAUUUUACUCGCCUGGGAACUACGAGCUAAGCUUAAAACCCAAAGGACUUGACGGUACCCCACAUCCACCUAGAGGAGCCUGUCCUAUAAUCGAUAAUCCACGUUUAACCUCACCAUUUUUAGCUUACUCAGCCUGUAUACCUCCGUCGUCAGCUUACCCCGUGAGCGCUAGUGAGCUCAAUGUUUAUUCAACAAUACGUCAGGUCAAGGUGCAACUCAUAAAAUGGGAAGAGAUGGGCUACAUUUUCUAACAUAGACUACACGGAAGACUACUUAUGAAACCUAGUCAAAAGGCGGAUUUAGCAGUAAAUAGGAACUAGAAAAUCCUUCUUAAUUUGGCACUGGGGUGUGUACACACCGCCCGUCACCCUCCUCUUACGCUUAAUAAAGUUUUUAACAAGAUUUAGCUUUUAUAGAAGAGGUAAGUCGUAACAUGGUAAGUAUACCGGAAGGUGUGCUUGGAAUCAA
rnacentral:rRNA from 1 species